UGUUAAAAAUUUCAUCCAAUUCUACUGUCAAAAACUGGUGUAGCUGCUAGAAUAAUGCUUAUCUCAUGAUGAUGUAUAGGGACCAAUUUGUAACUGUAGAAAUAGAUAGAUAUCUUAACA
rfam:Gossypium arboreum cultivar AKA8401 contig_1384_9, whole genome shotgun sequence.